UGGCACCUCGAUGUCGGCUCAUCACAUCCUGGGGCUGAAGCCGGUCCCAAGGGUAUGGCUGUUCGCCAUUUAAAGUGGUACGCGAGCUGGGUUUAGAACGUCGUGAGACAGUUCGGUCCCUAUCUGCCGUGGGCGUUGGAAGAUUGAAGGGGGCUGCUCCUAGUACGAGAGGACCGGAGUGGACGAACCUCUGGUGUUCGGGUUGUGUCGCCAGACGCAUUGCCCGGUAGCUAAGUUCGGAAUCGAUAACCGCUGAAAGCAUCUAAGCGGGAAGCGAGCCCUGAGAUGAGUCUUCCCUGAU
rnacentral:rRNA from 1 species